rnacentral:lncRNA from 1 species
CUCUCUCGGUGACUUCUGUAUUAAAUUUGUUCAGUUUGCUGGUCACAAGCUGGUAUUUCAGAUGGAAUGACUUGGCAGCUAGCUCCUCUGGGCCUCUAAGCCCAGCUGUGGUCUCCAGUCAGCAACCAGGAAGUUGGGAGGGGCUCUAGGAUGGCAGGGGAGACCAUGGCUUUGAGUUCUUCUUUGAUUCAUGCACCCCAUCUUUGCUUGAUCAGGGAGAUACAAAGCACAGAUCCACUGUUGGGCAACCAUGAUGGGCCACCUGCCAAGGAGAUGGGAGAACCAGGGCCUGGAAAGGAGGAGCAUCUGCGAAGCACAGCCUGAACCAUGAAGCCUCCCCAGGCAUCAAGUCACCCAGGGGGCUGUGGACUGCGGGGGAGUGUUGUGGGGUGAGGAGCCUGGGGCUCAGACCAGCCUGCGGUAAGCAUCCUCCUACACCAAGGAGCCAAAAUGACUGCACAGUGCGAGGGCGGCGAUGCAGGCUUGGAAAACAAAACCCGCCUCCUCUCUGUCUCCUCUGAUGGGAAGCCAGGGCCAAUGGAGGGGUCUGGUUCAGGGCCCAGAGCCACCAAAACCACUUGGCUCUUGAAUGAUCUGACUUGAGGGCUAACCUAAGCCUUGUGAAAUCCCAAGAGAAUAACCUCAGGUUCUUUAAUUCUAGUGCAGACUUUAGAUGCUGUUGGAAGAGAAGAAAAGGAAAUAGUGACCCAAGUCAGUAAUUGUACUUUCCAGUAGUCCCAAAGCAUAGUUUAUAUGAGCAUCCUAUAAGAGGCCACUGGCAUCUUAAUAAAGGUAGUUAAUAGUACACAUUGCUAGUCAGUAACAGCCACACCUUGCACCCAUUUGAUAGAACCCCAAGGGUCAGAAGAUGAUCUACUGAAUAUGGCCCAGCAGGGUAACAGGAACCGAGGGGUCCUUGAAGACAGCGUCCAGCCAGGGCAUCCAAUCUGGAAUUUCCCCUCACCUACAGAUCUCUGAGUAAGAUAAAUAUUUCAUUUUGCAAGCUCUGUGUUUUGUUACUUGCAGCUAAGAGCAUUCUAACUCACAUAAUUUCUUCAGAGACACUUCUGUAAUAUGCCUACUUCUGAAUGAACUCAUGCUUCCCACACUACCCCUUGAAUACUUCUUUUACGGAGUUUACCAUUGCCUAUUUGUCUUACAUCUGUCAUACAUCUAUGAGCUCUUUGAAGACAGGGAUAGUGUCUUAUAUUCCAUCUAUUCAAAUCCCCAAUUAAGUAUAUAAAUGGAUAAAUACGUGUAGUCAAUUACUUUGGAAAUUAGAUAUUGUUGUGAGUAUAACAGGGUGUGUUUCUUGGGUGGCCCGUAAGGUCAACAGGGAGAUUUCCUUGUCCCAGAAUUAAAUGAGGAAGGUCGACUUCUGCUCCAGCCUUGAAAACUCUCGUGAGGAUGGAAGCAUGUUCAUUAUUUGUCAGUAUAAUUUAAACUCGAUUAAAGUUCCACCUCCCCAAAAAAAUGACACAAGGAAAACUUGAUAUCUAGUGCUGAUGAAUUAUGUGUUCCUGGGUCUUUUCUCCCCCCAUCUUCACUUCUUAUCUGCACAAAAGAAUGUUCUUUUUGUUUUUGACUGACUUUACCAGAAGUCACACUUGUAUGGGUAUAAAAAACUAAUAAAAGUGUCUAAGUCAAGG